UUAGAACGGUCUCUUUUCUCAAGAGACAUUGCCAGAUGUGUACUAUUCCUCGCUUAAGAGAGCUCUUACCAGACCUGCGAUUCAGACUUGUCGACUUGCAUAAAGCUAGAAAAGUGGCCAUUUUGUAAAGAUGACUGCAUAAGCACAGCACAGCUUGUCAGAGCUUGUCUGAAGUCUGAGAGAAAUCAUGGCACAGCAGACAGGUGCUCUAACUCGGGUGUUCAGUUCUCCGGAAUAGACUCCAGAUCCAAUGAACCAUGACUACGAUAAGAAGUAAACGAUGAAUGAGACUCCCUUUUGAAGCAGAGCAUUUGAGCCUUCAGUGUGAAGUUGGAUCCAUGAUGCAGACAAUUUAGCAUUAUAUAUAAAUCACCAAUAAUGAAAUAUUCUAUCAGUCAGAAAAAAUAUUUCUAGAACUUUUGUGCCAAAACUAGACUACAAAAUUAAACGGACAACAUGCUAACAAAGCAAGCUUUUGGUUAUAUACACAGGGGUUGAGAAGUGAGUUGAAAAAAAACAAGUUUUGUAUGAGUUGACACAUGGCUGAGCAACAUGAGACAAUUGUGGUGAGUACAUCGUCAUUCUACUUGAAUGCACACGCCCGCUCGGAAUAUCGCAACACUUCAACCCCAAGAGGCUGCCACUCUUAAAAUAGUGAUCCGGUGCAGAGACACUUUACAUGACUGGACUUUCAACAGCUAAAUCUCACAACACCCUCUACUAAUCAAAUUAAACAUUGCUGCACCCAUUUUUUCCAUUUACAAAGUUUAUUCACACA